UCUGGUGACUAUAGCAAGGAGGUCACACCUGUUCCCAUGCCGAACACAGAAGGUAAGCUCCUUAGCG
rnacentral:rRNA from 1 species